UACGUAGGGGGCAAGCGUUGUCCGGAUUUAUUGGGCGUAAAGAGCGUGUAGGCGGCCAGGUAGGUCUGCUGUGAAAACUCGAGGCUUAACCUCGAGCUGUCGGCGGAAACCAUCAGGCUAGAGUCCGGAAGAGGAGAGUGGAAUUCCCGGUGUAGCGGUGAAAUGCGCAGAUAUCGGGAAGAACACCCGUGGCUAAGGCGGCUCUCUAGUACGGUACUGACGCUGAGACGCGAAAGCGUGGGGAGCGAACAGG
rnacentral:rRNA from 1 species